UCCCUGGUGGUCCAGUGGACAAGACUCUGCUCCCAAUGCAGGGGACCCAGGUUCAAUCCCUGGUUAGGGAA
rnacentral:tRNA from 1 species